rnacentral:rRNA from 1 species
CCUACGGGAGGCUGCAGUGAGGAAUAUUGGUCAAUGGGCGCGAGCCUGAACCAGCCAAGCAGCGUGAAGGAUGACUGCCCUACGGGUUGUAAACUUCUUUUAUAAAGGAAUAAAGUGAGGCACGUGUGCCUGUUUGUAUGUACUUUAUGAAUAAGGAUCGGCUAACUCCGUGCCAGCAGCCGCGGUAAUACGGAGGAUCCGAGCGUUAUCCGGAUUUAUUGGGUUUAAAGGGAGCGUAGAUGGGUUGUUAAGUCAGUUGUGAAAGUUUGCGGCUCAACCGUAAAAUUGCAAUUGAUACUGGCAGUCUUGAGUACAGUUGAGGUAGGCGGAAUUCGUGGUGUAGCGGUGAAAUGCUUAGAUAUCACGCAGAACUCCGAUUGCGAAGGCAGCAUACUAAACUGCCACUGACAUUGAUGCACGAAAGUGUGGGUAUCAAACAGGAUUAGAUACCCGUGUAGUC